UGUGUUUUCAUUUUAUAGAUCUUUAACUAUGGAAAAGUUUGUAUUUGGUUAAAGAUCCUGAAAUGUGGAAUAAACAAAACUAGUAUUUGAGCCCUGAUUCUAUCCAAAAUGUUGUUCCUGCCCUCAUGCUGUGUUUAAGGCUGGUUACAGCUACAUGUUCUGGGCCAUGCAAGCAGGACAAGGAAUUAUGAGCAGCUGCUAUGGACUAGGCUAAGCAGACUCCUUCAGGGGAUGGCUAAGCAACGAACUGAAAGCGGAGACUUGACAGUUUAUCUGCCUGCUGAGCACUCAACAGAGGCAAAAGAAAACCAGAGGAUGCUGCAGAAAAUCUUUUGGCCUCAAGAGGGCGUAGGGCAGAAAGGAGAUGGCUGAGAGUUUGGUCUCUGCAGAUGGUGGAACCAUCAUCUCCUCAACCAGGGCUGCUAAAGAGAUAGGAAAAAGAGGUCUCACCCACCUCAGAGGACAUUCAACAUGGGAUUCUAGUAGACCAACGACUGUAUAUAUUUAACUCUGGUUUUUGAAGUGUAAUAAACACCAUGCAAAAACUACUAUCCUCUCCUGUCUUACCGACAGAAGUAAGAGUUAUGUUAGGUGAGAGUAUUAGAGGGCACUAGAGACAUAAUUAGUGGCAGAAUCAGAGAGUUAGAAUGAGAGAAUAAGAAUAUAAAUUUGAGAGAGUUUCAGAACGUGUGUAUGAGUGUGGAUGUGUCUGAGUGUGAGAGUACAUGAGUAGGAUGGAGCCAUCGGGGCUCCGGGCUUUAAUUCUUGUAAGAAACACAGCGUCACUGAAAGCACAUGAACAUGGCCAAAUUACGCUUCAAAUUCAUAGUUCUAAAUGUUCUGCCAAAGGCUAUAUCUGAAGAUUUUUGUUCCAGACAGGAAACAAAACUAAGCACAACCCCCUUUGCUCUCCCUAAUAUUUCAGUGACAUUAACUUAUCACCUCUAAACUCAUGUUCUAAAGAGCUUUAUUAACUGAGCAGGAAUU
ensembl:lncRNA